GACGAACGCUGGCGGCGUGCCUAAUACAUACAAGUUGAGCGAUGAAGAUUGGUGCUUGCCCCAAUUUGAAGAGCAGCGAACGGGUGAGUAACGCGUGGGGAAUCUGCCUUUGAGCGGGGGACAACAUUUGGAAACGAAUGCUAAUACCGCAUAACAACUUUAAACAUAAGUUUUAAGUUUGAAAGAUGCAAUUGCAUCACUCAAAGAUGAUCCCGCGUUGUAUUAGCUAGUUGGUGAGGUAAAGGCUCACCAAGGCGAUGAUACAUAGCCGACCUGAGAGGGUGAUCGGCCACAUUGGGACUGAGACACGGCCCAAACUCCUACGGGAGGCAGCAGUAGGGAAUCUUCGGCAAUGGACGAAAGUCUGACCGAGCAACGCCGCGUGAGUGAAGAAGGUUUUCGGAUCGUAAAACUCUGUUGGUAGAGAAGAACGUUGGUGAGAGUGGAAAGCUCAUCAAGUGACGGUAACUACCCAGAAAGGGACGGCUAACUACGUG
rnacentral:rRNA from 1 species